GGAGAGGAGAGGGAGAGGAGAGGAGAGGGAGAGGGAGAGGAAGAGGAUGAGAGAGUAAACGAAUAAGAAAUAUAAUUAAAUUCCAUCCACAAAGUGCAAUUUGGUUGCAGAAAAAUUGUGUGUAGUGUGUGUAGUGUGUAGUGUGUGUAUAGUGUGUGUGUGUGUAGUGUGUAUAGUGUGUGUGUGUGUGUAGUGUAUAGUGUGUGUAUAGUGUGUGUGUGUAGUGUGUAUAGUGUGUGUGUGUGUAGUGUGUAUAGUGUGUGUAGUGUGUAGUGUGUGUAUAGUGUGUGUGUGUGUAGUGUGUAUAGUGUGUGUGUGUGUGUAGUGUAUAGUGUGUGUAUAGUGUGUGUGUGUAGUGUGUAUAGUGUGUGUGUGUGUAGUGUGUAUAGUGUGUGUGUAGUGUGUGUAUAGUGUGUAGUGUAUAGUGUGUGUAGUGUAUAGUGUGUGUGUGUAGUGUGUAUAGUGUGUGUGUAGUGUGUGUAUAGUGUGUGUAGUGUGUGUGUGUAGUGUGUAUAGUGUGUGUAUAGUGUGUGUAUAGUGUGUGUGUAGUGUGUGUAGUGUGUGUAGUGUGUGUGUGUAGUGUGUGUAGUGUGUGUGUGUAGUGUGUAUAGUGUGUGUAUAGUGUGUGUGUAGUGUGUGUAGUGUGUGUAGUGUGUGUGUGUAGUGUGUGUAUAGUGUGUGUGUAGUGUGUGUAUAGUGUGUGUAGUGUGUGUGUAGUGUGUAUAGUGUGUGUAGUGUGUGUAUAGGUGUGUGUAUAGUGUGUGUGUAGUGUGUAUAGUGUGUGUGUAGUGUGUAUAGUGUGUGUAUAGUGUGUGUGUAGUGUGUGUAGUAGUGUGUAUAGUGUGUGUAUAGUGUGUGUGUAGUGUGUAUAGUGUGUGUGUGUAGUGUGUAUAGUGUGUGUAUAGUGUGUGUGUAGUGUGUAUAGUGUGUAGUGUAUAGUGUGUGUGUAGUGUGUAUAGUGUGUGUAUAGUGUGUGUGUGUAGUGUGUAUAGCGUGUAGUGUAUAGUGUGUGUAGUGUGUGUAUAGUGUGUGUGUAGUGUGUGUGUAGUGUGUAGUGUAUAGUGUGUGUAUAGUGUGUGUAUAGUGUGUGUAUAGUGUGUGUGUAGUGUGUGUAUAGUGUGUAGUGUAUAGUGUGUGUAGUGUGUAUAGUGUGUGUAUAGUGUGUGUGUAGUGUGUAUAGUGUGUAGUGUAUAGUGUGUGUAGCGUGUGUGUGUAGUGUAUAUAGUGUGUGUAGUGUGUGUGUGUGUAGUGUGUAUAGUGUGUGUAGUGUGUGUGUGUAGUGUGUGUGUAGUGUGUAUAGUGUGUAGUGUAUAGUGUGUGUAGUGUGUGUGUGUAGUGUAUAUAGUGUGUGUAGUGUGUGUGUAGUGUGUAUAGUGUGUGUAUAGUGUGUGUGUAGUGUGUAUAGUGUGUAGUGUAUAGUGUGUGUAGUGUGUGUGUGUAGUGUGUAUAGUGUGUAGUGUAUAGUGUGUGUAGUGUGUGUAUAGUGUGUGUAGUGUGUGUGUGUAGUGUGUAUAGUGUGUGUGUAGUGUGUGUAUAGUGUGUGUAGUGUGUGUGUGUAGUGUAUAGUGUGUGUAGUGUGUGUAUAGUGUGUGUAGUGUGUGUGUGUGUAGUGUGUAUAGUGUGUGUGUAGUGUGUGUGUAGUGUGUAUAGUGUGUAGUGUAUAGUGUGUGUAGUGUGUGUAUAGUGUGUGUAUAGUGUGUGUGUAGUGUGUAUAGUGUGUGUGUAGUGUGUAUAGUGUGUGUAUAGUGUGUGUGUAGUGUGUAUAGUGUGUGUAUAGUGUGUGUGUGUAGUGUGUAUAGUGUGUAGUGUAUAGUGUGUGUAGUGUGUGUAUAGUGUGUGUAUAGUGUGUGUGUAGUGUGUGUGUAGUGUGUAGUGUGUGUAGUGUGUGUAUAGUGUGUGUAGUGUGUAUAGUGUGUGUAUAGUGUGUGUGUAGUGUGUAUAGUGUGUAGUGUAUAGUGUGUGUAGUGUGUGUGUGUAGUGUGUAUAGUGUGUAGUGUAUAGUGUGUGUAGUGUGUGUAUAGUGUGUAUGUGUUGUGUGUGUGUAGUGUGUAUAGUGUGUAGUGUAUAGUGUGUGUAGUGUGUGUGUGUAGUGUAUAUAGUGUGUGUGUGUAUAUAGUGUGUGUAGUGUGUGUGUGUAUAGUGUGUGUAUAGUGUGUAGUGUAUAGUGUGUGUAGUGUGUGUGUGUGUGUAUAGUGUGUAUAGUGUGUAUAGUGUGUGUGUGUAUAGUGUGUGUAUAGUGUGUAUAGUGUGUGUGUGUGUAGUGUGUAGUGUAUAAAUACCUGUGUAGUAGUGUGUGUGUGUAUAGUGUGUAUAGUGUGUAUAGUGUAUAGUGUGUAGUGUAUAGUGUGUAUAGUGUGUAGUGUAUAAAUACCUGUGUAGUAGUGUGUAUAGUGUGUAGUGUGUAUAGUGUAUAGUGUAUAGUGUAUAGUGUAUAGUGUAUAGUGUGUAUAGUGUAUAGUGUAUAGUGUAUAGUGUGUAGUGUAUAGUGUGUAUAGUGUAUAGUGUAUAGUGUGUAGUGUGUAUAGUGUGUAGUGUGUAUAGUGUAUAGUGUAUAGUGUGUAUAGUGUAUAGUGUAUAGUGUGUAUAGUGUAUAGUGUAUAGUGUAUAGUGUGUAGUGUAUAGUGUGUAUAGUGUAUAGUGUAUAGUGUGUAGUGUAUAAAUACCUGUGUAGUAGUUGUUGAUGCUGCUGUUGUUCAGAGACUCAGCGAUCAGAUUCAGACUGUUCUUACUGCGGGUACAGCUGGCAUUCAUCUCUACAUAACUAUAACCCAGCUCCUACACACACACACAGAGACAGCUGGCAUUCAUCUCUACAUAACUAUAACCCAGCUCCU
rnacentral:lncRNA from 1 species